GUCAGGAACUUCUGGUUUCUCAACACCAUAAAAGAAGAUCUAGAGUGUCUUCCUUUACCCGGAUGUGGAAUAGUACUAAAAAUAAGAAUGCUGCAAUUGCUGGGAGGUUGCAGCAUGGGCUCUGGUGAGAAUAGAAAGACAGGAGGAUGCUGGCUGCAGCCUGCAAAUUGUCAGCCAGUUGUGCCAGAUGUUGUCAUCCGCGGAGAGUGGGGAAGAAGGACCAGGGUGGCUUCUGAGCUUUUCAGGUUAAGCCUGAGUUUGGUCUUCUGUUACUUGGAACUGAAAUAAUGUGCAUUGACACACCUAACAAGUCAAAGUAUUGUCUUUUGCUGGUCUGCUCUGGUCCUGGAAACAUCCACUGAUAGAAUCACUGGUCUGGGACAAAUUGUGGUACCCAAAGACCUCAGGAAGCACUUAGAAGCAUUACUCCUGAAGUCCCAUUCGUCCCAAGAAGAGUUGCUGGCUGGAGGAGACAAUAUGUAAACAUGUCAUGACAAGAUGGUGUGGUGAGUGCUAUGUUGGCAUGUUGGAGGCAAGCAUAGCCAUGCUCACAGUGAGGAAUGACUUAGGAGCGCAACCACAGCCCCAUGCUACCUUCCACCAUUUGGAUAAAAGAAGGAAAAUGCCUUCAAAUUGCGAUGUAAGCUCUGUCCAGAGAAUUUAGGGAUGGUUUUACCCAACAGGAUUUGUGAGGCAUCGACCACCCACCAAGCACUGUUCUAGGUGGUGGAGUCACUGCAGUGAGCAAAACAAAGUCCUUGUCUGCAUGGAUCUUUCAUUCCAGUUGGGGUGGGUAACAAUAAACACAUAAGCAAUAAGCAAUUGAAGACAGGAGAGAAUACAAAUGGCAUGAAGAAAAAUAACACUAGUGAGUGAUUGAGAGCAGGGCAGAGGGAAAACCUGUCUAGGGAGGUAACGGAGAAGAAGAGACCUGAGGAGGGGCGCAAAGUGAAUCACAGAGCCACGUCAGAGAGGAUGCUCCAGGCAGAGCAAA
rnacentral:lncRNA from 1 species